AUACGGAAGGUCCGGGCGUUAUCCGGAUUUAUUGGGUUUAAAGGGAGCGUAGGCCGGAGAUUAAGCGUGUUGUGAAAUGUAGAUGCUCAACAUCUGCACUGCAGCGCGAACUGGUUUCCUUGAGUACGCACAAAGUGGGCGGAAUUCGUGGUGUAGCGGUGAAAUGCUUAGAUAUCACGAAGAACUCCGAUUGCGAAGGCAGCUCACUGGAGCGCAACUGACGCUGAAGCUCGAAAGUGCGGGUAUCGAACAGGAUUAGAUACCCUGGUAGUCCGCACGGUAAACGAUGGAUGCCCGCUGUUGGUCUGAAUAGGUCAGCGGCCAAGCGAAAGCAUUAAGCAUCCCACCUGGGGAGUACGCCGGCAACGGUGAAACUCAAAGGAAUUGACGGGGGCCCGCACAAGCGGAGGAACAUGUGGUUUAAUUCGAUGAUACGCGAGGAACCUUACCCGGGCUUGAAUUGCAGAGGAAGGAUUUGGAGACAAUGACGCCCUUCGGGGCCUCUGUGAAGGUGCUGCAUGGUUGUCGUCAGCUCGUGCCGUGAGGUGUCGGCUUAAGUGCCAUAACGAGCGCAACCCCUCUCCUUAGUUGCCAUCAGGUCAGGCUGGGCACUCUGGGGACACUGCCACCGCAAGGUGUGAGGAAGGUGGGGAUGACGUCAAAUCAGCACGGCCCUUACGUCCGGGGCUACACACGUGUUACAAUGGCAGGUACAGAGAGACGGUCCCUUGCAAAAUGGAUCAAAUCCUUAAAGCCUGUCUCAGUUCGGACUGGGGUCUGCAACCCGACCCCACGAAGCUGGAUUCGCUAGUAAUCGCGCAUCAGCCAUGGCGCGGUGAAUACGUUCCCGGGCCUUGUACACACCGCCCGUCAAGCCAUGAAAGCCGGGGGCGCCUAAAGUCCGUGACCGUAAGGAGCGGCCUAGGGCGAAACUGGUAAUUGGGGCU
rnacentral:rRNA from 1 species